UCACUCUUCACACACACACACACAACUCUCUCAAUUCUCACUUGUUUUUCAAAAUUCAAAGUCCAAAUUCACUUAAUUUCUCCUCAAGAUCACGUUUCUAGCUAUCUCUUUCCCUAAUUCACAAGGCACAAUGGCGGGUGGAACAAAAUCACAACCCAAAAGGCAAAAGAAAACAACAACCGCAAAUGAGACACAAACCACACCGGUUGUUCAUUGGACCACGGAAGAGAAGAUGGCUCGUCGCAAGAUGUCACAAGUCAUGCCACUCCCAACGCGUUUUGCAAACCGCGCAAUUCUUGAGAGGAUGGGAGUGCUUGAUACAUUUGAUGAGCUUCUAAAGAAGAUGGGACUUAGUUUUUUCGGGACAAUGGAUGUUCCCACGUUCCCAUUGCCUACCUUGGACUUCUUGUUCACCAUGCAAUACACAUUCGCGAACCCAAAAGUUCCAAUAGCCAAAGAAGGGAUCUUCCACUUCAAGAUCAAGAACAUGGGGUACUCGAUCUCUAUUCCCGACCUUUGUGAGGCAUAUGGAUUCGCCAACAACAACUCUAUGUGUUUCCCACAAUUCAAAGGGAUUCACAAGCUUUGGAAUAUGAUUGCUAACGGGUACUUUGUUGGGAGCUCCGCCAAAAUUAAGAGAGUCCGUCAUCCCGUAAUCCGCUACGUCUUGAAGCUCAUUGCACAUGCCUUCUUUGGGCGAAGUGACACGGCCGCCACUACGGUAACCGAGUUGUGCUUCCUCUUCCAAGGAUUGAAAGACGUGUUAUUGGAUUUUGGAGAAGAUGCGGAUAGUGGAAAAGAGAAAUGAUCAAGAAUUUGGAGAGUGGAAAAGGCCUUAAUGUCUAAAAGUUUUGGGGUUUGAUUAGGAAAAGAGAUGGUGAUUAAGAAAGGGUAGAAAUAGGAGAUUGACAUCAAAGGGUACCAUGGAGUGGAUCAAGAGAUUUGGAGUUCUUUUAAGAGAUUUUUGAGCCAAAAGAGAGUGAAUGAAUCAAACAAGUCAAGGAAGAAUCAAGAGAGAAGAAGAGGAGACAAAGAAAGAUGAUCCAAAGAGAGAAUGACACUUGAUCGACCAGCCGAUCGAUGGGGUGGUCGAUGGGAGCCAACAGCACCACACGGACGAAGAGCAAUCGAGCGACCCAUCGACCGAUCAAAGGCUAGAUAAGACGGACCGCAGGGCAGAUUGAUCGACCACUUGGUCGAUUGACCGAUCGAUUGGACCCCAUCUGGUGUAAAUUUAAGUAUCUCCUCCCAGAUGCCUUGAUCGAACAUCUGAGUCCAAUCCAGGAAUGUGAAGUCAAAUGUAAUAGUCAAUCCAAUACCUUUCUUCGAAUUUGUACCAUUUCAUAAGUGUUUUUUGCAGCUUCCACAAGUAAACGGUUAGAAGGGUAUUUCAUAUGUAUAAGUCAAUUUGUUAUUUGGUUCAUAUACGUUUCCAUGUUA